rnacentral:tRNA from 1 species
AGCGCAGCCUGGUAGCGCAUCACACUGGGGGUGUGGGGGUCGCAGGUUCGAAUCCUGUC